CUGUCCACCUCCCAGGGUGCCUGUUCCCCUCUACGACCGGAGCCACCCUCUGCUGGCUGGGUAUGAGCCAAGGGCCUGGCAGCACCUCGGCCCCACGACCGGCGGCCAGAGAAAGGCCUGAGAUGCUGGCAGCAGACACGCUGCUGUCAGAAUGGCUGCCUCCAGACUCUGACUCAUCGUCCCCCAGUUGCUCUACGGACAGUGUGGAGGUGCUGGGACGGGGGACAAUGGUGAGGCGUAGAGUAUUUCCUGCUCGACGAAGGAUCUGAGCGAGCUCCCGAUGAGGCAGAGUCACCACAGAGCGUCCCUCUACUGCCUCUAAUCGAUCUCCAGGCCGGAUCUGGCCACUCUUGGCUGCUGGGCUGCUCCGACGGACCGUCACAAACCGGUGAGGGAGAAGUGAAGCAGCUGAAAAGAGGACAGAAAAACAUUUAUUGACUUGUUGCGUGAUCACUUGUUGAUUAGUUCAUACUCACGUAAAGUUGCAGUUGGAACACAAAACGCCAUCAAGCCCCAAAACCUUCUUUGUAAUGCAAUACAGUAAGUAAUAAAUGGGGUCAGAUGUAGAUACAAUUAAAAGCACACUGAUUUAUUUUACCAGUGAGUUUGCAAAAAUUCCUUAAACGCGCUCUAAUUAAGCUUUGGAUCGUUUUUGGCAGGAUUUACUUUUAAAUUACAUCCCACAGAAGCCUUCUCUUACACCUCCCCCACUGUCUCCUUGAAAAACCCCCCUCUUCUCCUUCAUCUUCCCAUCUAUCAACCUAUCUCUUCUUCCGCUGAUACACCGGAAACUGCUUUUCGCUGUUCAACGAUUUGUUACGGAACACAAGCUUUCCAGCAAAUAUCUUCCUGUCCUUAAUCUGUCAAACUGCACAUAACAACAGCCGUUGAGAUAUUUACACUUCAGUUUAUACAGCGUCAGGGAUUCUUAUGCUCAGUUCUUCUAAGAUCCACAAACUUGCAGUCUGUCUGCAUUAGUAUGCUACUAGCAUUCAAAACACACACAUAAAAACACACACAGCAAUAUUUACUUCUUUCUGCUGGUACCACAAAAUGUCUUUUUUCCUCUGUGUGGGAAAACGCUGGCUGUCUUCUCCCAGCCCCUACACUGCUCAAACACACCAUGUAAUCACUCUUAGAAAACUAGAAUAUACAUAAGAAUGUAGGCGAGGUCACAGAUGAUGUUCAAGUGCUCAUGUAUUUUUGUUAGAUUCCACUGAUCUCUGAAUUGAAGUGAGGGUACAAUGUAAGGAGGGACAAUUAGCUUAAUGUAUCAUGAACUCAAUUUGUCUUAUCUUCUGUACGAGGAGAUCACUCACAAUUAAGCUUAACUCUGGUCAAUGUCUGAGGUUGAUGAGAAAAGUAUCAAGCAGCCUAAAAAUACAUUUGCUUCCAUUAAUCUCCUGCAGCAACUAAAAAGCUCCUUACAGUUUUUAGCUGGACAGUCUGUCUCUGUCAGUUUAGACUUCUAAUUCUAUCUUUCAGUCCUCUUUCUUUAUCUUAGUAAACUCCCUAUUACUCUCUCUCUGACCCCUAUUUGAGGUUAUGCUGUGCUUUGGUGACAGCUGGCCCCUCUAGAGUCUUGCCUGUGGCCUUAUGUAACCCAUCAGGCAGCAUAAAUAUUUUGAGACUCAGCGGAGGUACAUAGUCAGUCUAUAUCCCUCCAGGUUAAAAAUAGCAUGUUUAAAUUGUCCUGCUGAGCGCCACGGCAUGAUUGUUAACAGAUUAAAAUUGUUAUCAUGUGGGCUAGGAAUGUCAGAUAAAGGUAUGUCACACUGGAAUGAUGGUCCCAUUAAAUGGUACAGCCUAUAA